GACGAAGAACGUAGUGAAAUGCGAUGCGUAAUGUGAAUUGCAGAAUUCAGUGAAUCAUCGAGUCUUUGAACGCACAUUGCGCCCCCUGGUAUUCCGGGGGGCAUGCCUGUCCGAGCGUCAUUGCUGCCCUCAAGCACGGCUUGUGUGUUGGGCCUCCGUCCUCCUCCCGGGGGACGGGCCCGAAAGGCAGCGGCGGCACCGCGUCCGGUCCUCGAGCGUAUGGGGCUUCGUCACCCGCUCUUGUAGGCCCGGCCGGCGCUUGCCGACACAUCAAUCUUUUUUCCAGGUUGACCUCGGAUCAGGUAGGGAUACCCGCUGAACUUAAGCAUAUCAAUAAGCGGAGGA
rnacentral:misc_RNA from 1 species